UACGUAGGGUGCGAGCGUUAAUCGGAAUUACUGGGCGUAAAGCGUGCGCAGGCGGUGAGUUAAGUCAGGUGUGAAAUCCCCGGGCUUAACCUGGGAAUUGCGCUUGAAACUAGCGGGCUUGAGUGUGGCAGAGGGGGGUGGAAUUCCACGUGUAGCAGUGAAAUGCGUAGAUAUCGGGAGGAACAUCAGUGGCGAAGGCGGCCCUCUGGUCCAGUACUGACACUCAAGUGCGAAAGCGUGGGGAGCAAACAGG
rnacentral:rRNA from 1 species